UACAGAGGAGCCAAGCGUUGUCCGGAUUGACUGGGCGUAAAGCGCACGCAGGCGGUUGGGCGCGUGGGGGGUGAAAUCUGGCCGCUUAACGGCCAGGCGCCAUCCCAUACGGCGCGACUGGAGCGAUGCAGAGGUCGGUGGAAUUGCCGGUGUAGUGGUGAAAUGCGUAGAGAUCGGCAGGAACACCCGUGGCGAAGGCGAGACUCUGGACAGUAUCUGACGCUCAUGCACGAAGGUCAGGGUAGCGAACGGG
rnacentral:rRNA from 1 species